GCUGCUGUCUGCGGUUACAGCCCAGUUUCCAGGGGUUUGUGGGCUUCACUACAGGAAUUCAGUGUCUCAAUGUAUGAGAGGUGUCUGGCCAGUGGAAGGAAUUCUGCAUGUCCCCAAUGCUGGCUGGGGAAAUCUGGUGUGUGUUGUCAACUAUCCCAAAGAUAACAAAAGAAAAAUGGAUGAGACAGAUGCGUCAUCAGCAGUGAAAGUGAAAAGAACAGUCCAGAAAACAUCUGAUUUAAUAGUGUUGGGUGUCCCAUGGAAAACAACUGAACAGGACCUGAAAGACUAUUUUAGUACCUUUGGAGAAGUUCUUAUGGUGCAGGUCAAGAAAGAUCUUAAGACUGGUCAUUCAAAGGGGUUUGGUUUUGUUCGUUUUACGGAAUAUGAAACACACGUGAAAGUAAUGUCACAGCGGUAUAUGAUAGACGGACGGUGGUGUGACUGUAAACUUCCUAACUCUAAGCAAAGCGCAGAUGAGCUUUUGAGAAGCAGAAAAGUGUUUGUGGGGCACUGUACAGAGGACAUGACAGAGGAUGAGCUGCGGCAGUUCUUCUCCAAGUACGGGGAGGCGAUGGAUGUCUUCAUCCCCAAGCCGUUGAAGGCCCUUGCCUUUGUUACAUUUGCAGAUGAUCAGAUUGUGCAAUCUCUUUGUGGAGAGGACUUGAUCAUUAAAGGAAUCAGCGUUCAUAUAACCAAUGCUGAACCUAAGCACAAUAGCAAUAGACAGAAAUAAGUGGAAGAUUUGGUGGUAAUCCAGGUGGCUUUGGGAAUCGGGGUGGAUUUGGUAAUAGCAGAGUGGGUGGAGCUGGUUUGGGAAACAAUCAAGGUAGUAAUAUGGGUGGCGGGAUGAACUUUGGCGCAUUCAGCAUUAAUCCAGCCAUGAUGGCUGCAGCCCAGGCAGCGCUACAGAACAGUUGGGGUAUGAUGGGCAUGUUAGCCAGCCAGCAGAACCAGUCAGGCCCAUCAGGUAAUAACCAAAGCCAAGGCAACAUGCAGAGGGAGCCAAACCAGGCCUUCCGUUCUGGAAAUAACUCUUAUAGUGAUUCUAAUUCUGGUGCAGCAAUUGGUUGGGGAUCAGCAUCAAAUGCUGGGUCAGGCAGUGGUUUUAAUGGAGGCUUUGGCUCGGGCAUGGAUUCUAAGUCUUCUGGCUGGGGAAUGUAGACUGGUUGGUUGGUAUAGAAUGGUGGGAAUUCAGAUUUUUCUAAACUCAUGGUAAGUAUAUUGUAAAAUACGUAUAUACUAAGAAUUUUCAAAAUUGGUUUGUUCAGUGUGGAGUAUAUUCAGCAGUAUUUUUGACAUUUUUCUUUAGAAAAAGGAAGAGCUAAAGGAACUUUCUAAGUUUUGUUACAUGAAAGGUUGAAAUAUUGAGUGGUUGAAAGUGAACUGCUGUUUGCCUGAUUGGUAAACCAACAUACUACAAUUGGUAUCAAAAGGUUUCUCGUGUAAUUUU